GGUGUCAAAACUGCAGCGCUAACCCUGAGAAACAGGACUCGGAGCGCUGUGGCAAGAAAGCACUAGCGAAGCUAAUCUAUAAUCGUCCUAAGUGAACGGCACACACUUCCCUCCUCCAAGAACGAAGGCACGUCUCCCAGUCCAGACCCCCAAACGGACCCCGGUCCUCCGAGCGAAGGUCUGGGUGAGGGGCAGAAUGGAGAGCAAGGGUGAGUCCCUGGCGCCGCAGGCAGCCAGCCACACAGCCCGUCCAAAAGCCACCCACCGUGGGGGCACGCUGGACAGGUCCACCAGCCCCGAGCAGUGCCCACAAGCCCCGACAAGCCCCGGCAGAGCAGCUCGGUCCUCGCUCCCUCCCGCCUGCUCUCCCCGCGUCCGGGGCAGCACCGGGCGGUCGGCUCGGGGGGUCUCUAGACCCCCUUCCUCCGCGGGCGAAAACCCGCUCCGCCACCCAGCAGGACCUUCCCGGAAUCCCACUCCCCUCACCUGGCGCCAGCCCUGCCCCAGAAGGGAUGAAGGAGACGGCGGCCGCAGCAGGUGCUUCCCACAGGGUCCGGGAGCGGCGGUGGCUGCUUCGCACCGCGGCCCUAAUCUACCGCCAACGCCAUGUUGGACGGUGAGGUCACCCCUGCGCGCUUCCGUCACGGCCCGCGUGGGGGAGCGGGGCUGGGGCGCGGCGCCGAGCCGGCAGUCCGAGGCUCGGUCCGCUGGAGCGGAAGCGGUGACCCUGCUGCCCGCUGGUCAGUCCGCGCAGGCGUGACCUGCGUACGGAGCUGUCCCUCGGCCUCUCUUUGCAGGAGCCGGGGGAGAAAUAGAUUCCUGGACUUCAGAAAUGCCUUCGCUAAGUCAUUUCCGGUGCCGAGUAGCGCUAAGAUGAGGUAGACACCGCCCGCCUGCUCAGCCCGGUCCCAGAGAGAAAAAAAAUGUAUUCUUCAUCAAAAUGAGUUAUCUGCCUAACCAUAAGGAUAUGAACCCACACGGUAUCUAUCAGUAUCAGGUGAAACCACCCGAUAACACAUAAGAACUAUCCUUUCGCUGGGCGUGGUGGCACAUGCUUUUAUUUCCAGUACUCAGGAGGAAGAGGUGUUUUGCCUUUAUGCCCGGUACCCAGGAAGCCAUUGGAUCUCUUGAAUUGGAGUUACAAUAGUGAGCUGCCAUAGGGCUGCUGGGAAUUAAACCCGAGGCCUUUGGAAGAGGAGCCAGUGCGCUUAAGCACUGAGCCUUGUCUGUAGCCCCAUGGUUUGGUUUAAAUAAAAACACUUGUUCAAUCUCUAGCCCGGGCACCCUCAAAUUUCCAAUGUCAAGGAAUGAUGUGCAAUUUAGGGCUGGAAUGAUUUCCCAGCCUCUGACUGAGUGUUGGGAUUGUGAUUAGUCCUCACCUCACAGAAAUCCAAGUCUUUGUGUGUGCUAGGCAAGCAUUCUGCAAACUGAGCUCCAUUUCAAGCUCUGGGUAAACUUUUGUUUAUUUGCUUGUUUGAGACAGGGUUUCUCUGUGUAGCCCAAG